GGGCCCGUGGCCUAGCCAGGAUAGGGCACUGGCCUGCGGAGCCAGGGGUCCCGGGUUCAAAUCCCGGCGGGCCCGCCA
rnacentral:tRNA from 1 species